rnacentral:tRNA from 1 species
CCGACCUUAGCUCAGUUGGUAGAGCGGAGGACUGUAGUGUGGGUGUAAACCUUUCAGAUAUCCUUAGGUCACUGGUUCGAAUCCGGUAGGUCGGA